UUUAGGGAGACCUUACCCCCAUUCUUUGUGAGCGUUGUGCUUGCUAUAUGCAAAUGCAUGUUUAAGGCAAAGAAUGGUAGGUCAUCUCAAGGUCGGUCGAAAACUAAAUGUUGGCUUCUAAACUAUCUAGGUUCGGGCUAUGGGCUAUUAGCUCAGGUGGUUAGAGCGCACCCCUGAUAAGGGUGAGGUCCCUGGUUCGAGUCCAGGAUGGCCCACCUUACGGCAAGUUUGGGGGUUUAGCUCAGUUGGUAGAGCGCCUGCUUUGCAAGCAGGAUGUCAGCGGUUCGAGUCCGCUAACCUCCACUGAAGGAUGUAUUCAGCAACAGAUUUAGUUGUUAGUGAGACUAAGCUGACUGCUGGAUUGUAUUCCAGUAAGAACCAUGAAAACUGCAUAGAGAUAAGCAAUUAAGUCAGGUAGAAGAUUAGUUGUGUUCAUCGAUUGAUUGUCGAUUGAUUGAUCAAUGGAUGAAGCAAUUAAGGCUUCAUAGACACCAAUGAUUUUGAAGUUAGU
rnacentral:tRNA from 1 species